UCCUCGAAUAUGAACGCAACGCUGGACAAGGCGAAGGGGCGAUCAAUGCCUUUAGCCUUCUAUCUCGAGGAGCUGCCCGGUGGGUCAGCCAAUUUCCAAAUUUCCCUCCUCGUCCGGGCAGACAUGGCCAACAUGGACGUUCGUCGGGUCCUCAUCGAUCCGGGGAGCUCCUGCGACAUUAUGUACGCCAGUCUGUUCAGGACC
rnacentral:lncRNA from 1 species